GACGGGUGGGAACGAUUGUAUAUAAUCCACUAAAAUACUUCGUCGUUUCAAAGUAAGCGCCAUUUAUUCUUGGAAGACUCGAGACUUCAAGUCGUAAAGUUGAAAGGAAAGUUUAUCGAACCAACAGAACGACAUUUCAGUUAUUCCAAAAAUAAGCAGUGUCUUUAGCAACAACAACGAACUAUGUCAAAGGUUAAGAAUCUCGCUGAAUUCUCAGCCAAAGAAUUAAAUAAAUUUUUCUCAUCUUUUGAUACAGUAUUUUCCGACAUCGAUGGAGUCAUAGUAAACUUAUUUAGCACACCCAUCAAAGGUGCUUUAGAAUCUUUAACAAAAUUAAGUAAAUUGGGAAAAAAUGUGUAUCUGGUAACAAAUAAUACCUUAUAUGAAGCGGAACACUAUGCGAAAAAAUUUCAAUGUAGCGGAUUUGAGAUAAGUCCGGAACAUAUAAUUAAUACAUCAAAAGUAGUAAUAUGGUACUUGAAAAAGAUCAAUUUUCACGGCGAUGCAUAUAUAAUCGCUUCAGAUUGGCAAAGAAGUUGUUUCCAAAAAGCAGGAAUACAAACAGUCGAGCAGCCGAAGAUUAUGAAGAACAUGACUGAGACCAUGGAGCAACUUUUGGAUCGACCUUCCGUUAAAGCUGUAAUUGUAGACGCCGAUGUGAACUGCAAUUGGGCAAAGAUGGCUUUAGCUAUAUCAUGUCUUAAACGUGAAGAAGUAAUCUAUUUAACAGGAGCGCCGGAUGUUUGGUUGGGCGACAAACAAAAAAAAGUUUUAGCUUUAGGGCCAAUAAUAGAUCUAAUCAGCAAAUGUAGCGGAAAAAAACCUACUACAUGUUGUAAACCUGGCCAAAUCUUGAAAGAUUAUAUUUUGAACAUAUGCAACAUAAGCAAUCCUCAAAGAUGUUUAUUUAUCGGUGACACGAUUCAACAGGAUAUGAAGUUCGCUUCAAUAUGCGGAUUCACGAAGCUAUUUGUAGAAACGGGAAACGAUACCUUGGAGGAUGUACAAGAGGAGGAUACUCGCCCCGACUACUAUAUUUCCAGUUUAGGUCAACUAUUUACUGCUUUCAAGGAAACUCAAAAACAGCAUACCACCAAUCACGAGAUUUGAUUUAUUAAUUUUUCAUUAGAAAAAGGAAAAUAAAUUCACUUUUAACACAAUUUUCGAAGGUGUGUGGCAGUGUCCCUUGUCCGCGAGCCUCAGGCAUCUGAUAUAGAUUUCGAUAGUUGAAGAAUGAUUGUCUGGACGACGAAAAAUCGAUGGAAAAACAACAACAGCGGAGAGUCGCACACGAGCCAUCGUCGAAGGCUGACGUGUGGCGAUUGUAUU